rnacentral:rRNA from 1 species
UGGGGAAUAUUGCGCAAUGGGGGAAACCCUGACGCAGCAACGCCGCGUGGGUGAUGAAGGUCUUCGGAUUGUAAAACCCUGUCUUUGGGGACGAUAAUGACGGUACCCAAGGAGGAAGCCACGGCUAACUACGUGCCAGCAGCCGCGGUAAUACGUAGGUGGCGAGCGUUGUCCGGAAUUACUGGGCGUAAAGAGUAUGUAGGCGGAUGCCUAAGUCAGAUGUGAAAUUCCCGGGCUUAACCUGGGCGCUGCAUUUGAAACUGGGCAUCUAGAGUGCAGGAGAGGAAAGUGGAAUUCCUAGUGUAGCGGUGAAAUGCGUAGAGAUUAGGAAGAACACCAGUGGCGAAGGCGACUUUCUGGACUGUAACUGACGCUGAGAUACGAAAGCGUGGGGAGCAAACA